AGAGAGAGAGAGAGAGAGAGAGAGAGUUCUUCUGCAAACUUCAGCUUCAAGAAACGUCGAUGCGAAUGAAGGAAGAGAGCGAGAAGCGAAAGAAGGUCUCUUUCAGCGAGGAAGAUGUUUUUCUUCUGUCGGAGAGGUACAACGCAAGCACAGUGUUGAAAUUGCUUCAGGAAAUGGCGAAUUAUCCGCAUUCGAAGUUUGAGUGGGACGAGUUGGUCAAGAAAACUUCAACCGGAAUUUCUAAUGCUGGAGAAUAUCAGAUGCUGUGGCGUCACUUGGCGUACGGUCAUGCCUUGGUUGAAAAUUUUGAAGACGCUGCUCAACCAUUGGAUGAUGAUAGUGACUUAGAAUGUGAACGGGAAGCAUUACCCCCUGUAACCAAGGAAACUGCAUUAGAAGCUGCAGCAUGUGUGAAGCUAAUGAUUGCUUCUCAUACGCUGAGUGAAUCCUCCCCUACUAGCGCGGUGAUUGAGGCUCCCUUGACUAUAAAUGUUCCAGUUUGUGGCUCAUCUAAAAUUCCUAACGGAAGUUCACAGCCCUUUAAUUUGGUGGAAGAGACAAACAUUACUUUUCCAGUUACCGUUCCGAGACGGAUGACACGGCCAAAUAAAUCAUCAACAAGAGCUAUGAAAACAAAAGGAUGGUCAGAGGAAGAGGACAAGCAACUACUAGCUGCUGUUCAGUGAGUGGUGGGGUGACGGAAAUUGGGUAGACUUGGCUAAAAGACACCAUUUUCUAUGUAAGAGAAGUCCUUCACAAUUGUCUAAGAGAUGGAGCUUUUUACUAAACAAAUAUGGUGACACCAAUUGAGAAACCACCUCAACAAAUUCACAGAAUACUGUUGAACAGCUGGCAACAGGUCACUACUUGAUAAGCAACCCAAAAAGUUAAAUGCCCCUUCAAUGAAUGAUACUGCGGAUUGUCGUCUAUUUGUAUGCUAAUUUCUAGUCUAAAAUAGUAAUGGUCCAUCAUGUAUGUUAAGGAAUAAUGAUACUCGUUUGAUUUUGAAAGUGUUUUUAAG